rnacentral:snRNA from 1 species
GUGCUCGCUUCAGCAGCACAUAUACUAAAACUGGAACGAUUCAGAGAAGAUUAUCAUGGCCCCUAAAGAAGAAAAAAAAUCUGCUCCUUUUG